AUUGAACGCUGGCGGCAUGCCUUACACAUGCAAGUCGAACGGCAGCGCGGGGCAACCUGGCGGCGAGUGGCGAACGGGUGAGUAAUAUAUCGGAACAUACCCUAGAGUGGGGGAUAACGUAGCGAAAGUUACGCUAAUACCGCAUACGCACUAAGGUGGAAAGUGGGGGAUUCGCGAGAACCUCAUGCUCAUGGAGUGGCCGAUAUCUGAUUAGCUAGUUGGUGAGGUAAAGGCUCACCAAGGCAACGAUCAGUAGCUGGUUUGAGAGAACGACCAGCCACACUGGAACUGAGACACGGCCCAGACUCCUACGGAGGCAGCAGUGGGGAAUAUUGGACAAUGGGCGAAAGCCUGAUCCAGCAAUGCCGCGUGAGUGAUGAAGGCCUUAGGGUUGUAAAGCUCUUUUACCCGGGAUGAUAAUGACAGUACCGGGAGAAUAAGCCCCGGCUAACUCCGUGCCAGCAGCCGCGGUAAU
rnacentral:rRNA from 1 species